rnacentral:rRNA from 1 species
CCUACGGGAGGCUGCAGUGAGGAAUAUUGGUCAAUGGGCGAGAGCCUGAACCAGCCAAGUCGCGUGAGGGAGUACUGCCCUAUGGGUUGUAAACCUCUUUUGUCGGGGAGCAAAAGCCGGACGUGUCCGGCUGUGAGAGUACCCGCAGGAAAAGCAUCGGCUAACUCCGUGCCAGCAGCCGCGGUAAUACGGAGGAUGCGAGCGUUAUCCGGAUUUAUUGGGUUUAAAGGGUGCGCAGGCGGAUUUUUAAGUCAGCGGUAAAAUCGUGGGGCUCAACCCCAUCCAGCCGUUGAAACUGGGGAUCUAGAGUGUGCGAGAGGUAUGCGGAAUGCGUGGUGUAGCGGUGAAAUGCAUAGAUAUCACGCAGAACCCCGAUUGCGAAGGCAGCAUACCGGUGCACAACUGACGCUCAGGCACGAAAGCGUGGGUAUCGAACAGGAUUAGAUACCCCGGUAGUC